AUUCACAUAUAGUCUGUUUCAUAGAUUUAGUCAUGCAUGUCUAAGUAUAAGCAUUAUACCGUGAAACUGCGAAUGGCUCAUGAAAUCAGUAUCGUUUAUUUGAUAGUACUACUACUCGGAUAACGUGGUAAUUCUAGAGCUAAUACAUGCUAAAACCCCAACUUCGGAGGGGUGUAUUUAUUAGAUAAAAAAACCAAUGCCCUUCGGGGCUCCUUGGUGAUUCAUAAUAACUUCUCAGAUCGCAUGGCUUUACGCCGGCGACGGAUUCAUUCAAAUUUCUGCCCUAUCAACUUUCGAUGGUAAGGUAUUGGCUUACCAUGGUUUCAACGGGUAACGGGGAAUUAGGGUUCGAUUCCGGAGAGGGAGCCUGAGAAACGGCUACCACAUCCAAGGAAGGCAGCAGGCGCGCAAAUUACCCAAUUCCGAUACGGAGAGGUAGUGACAAUAAAUACUGAUACAGGGCUCUUUUGGGUCUUGUAAUUGGAAUGAGUACAAUUUAAACCUCUUAACGAGGAACAAUUGGAGGGCAAGUCUGGUGCCAGCAGCCGCGGUAAUUCCAGCUCCAAUAGCGUAUAUUAAAGUUGUUGCAGUUAAAAAGCUCGUAGUUGAACCUUUGGCCUGGCUGGCAGGUCCGCCUCACCGCGUGCACUUGUCCGGCCGGGCCUUUUCUUCUGGAGAACCGCAUGCCCUUCACUGGGUGUGUUGGGGACCAGGACUUUUACUUUGAAAAAAUUAGAGUGUUCAAAGCAGGCCUUUGCUCGAAUACGUUAGCAUGGAAUAAUAGAAUAGGACGUGCGGUCCUAUUUUGUUGGUUUCUAGGACCGCCGUAAUGAUUAAUAGGGACAGUCGGGGGCAUCAGUAUUCAAUUGUCAGAGGUGAAAUUCUUGGAUUUAUUGAAGACUAACUACUGCGAAAGCAUUUGCCAAGGAUGUUUUCAUUAAUCAGUGAACGAAAGUUAGGGGAUCGAAGACGAUCAGAUACCGUCGUAGUCUUAACCAUAAACUAUGCCGACUAGGGAUCGGGCGGUGUUUCUAUUGUGACCCGCUCGGCACCUUACGAGAAAUCAAAGUGUUUGGCUCUGGGGGAGUAGGUCACCCC
rnacentral:rRNA from 1 species